UUGGAUAGUGAAGAUAACUAAAUCAGACAAUUGUGACUGGAACACUUUUGUCAAAUGACAAUUAAGUCUGCCUAAUCCACCAAAAUUGUUAUUGAAAAAAAGAGAUACAUUUGUGAACUUUACAAAAAGUUGUUUUGUUUUCUACUCAAUCAAACUCAAUUGUUUGCAUCAAUGUAGUCUCUUGUGUGUUACUACAUGACAAGUUUCUAACACUUCUUCCAUCUUAUGUCAUGACCUCUAAAGCCUCUAUGGUUUGUCCAAGUAUGUUAAAUAUUGUUGCUGCAAUAUGAGAUGGUGUUAAUCCAGCUUCCGCCAACUGAUCAACUGGAGAUCCACGAUUAAUUGCUCAGCAGCAUGUUAACUCUAAAAAGAUGAAAGAUGCUGCACCUACAAGGCUAUCACUUCCAACAAAAUUUCCACUAACUCUCGGUGAUUUCUGCUAUUGUGGAUUGUCCUUUGAGAUAUGAUGAUCUGACAGAAAAAGAAAACAAAAAAAAUAAGAUCGUAGGUAUGCAGAAACUUUCAUUACACAUUCUAAUAAAUGUGAAGUUACUUUCAUUACACAUUCUAAUAAAUGUGAAGUUACUUUCAUUACACAUUCUAAUAAAUGUGAAGUUACUUUCAUUACACAUUCUAAUAAAUGUGAAGUUACUUUCAUUACACAUUCUAAUAAAUGUGAAGUUACUUUCAUUACACAUUCUAAUAAAUGUGAAGUUACUUUCAUUACACAUUCUAAUAAAUGUGAAGUUACUUUCAUUACACAUUCUAAUAAAUGUGAAGUUACUUUCAUUACACAUUCUAAUAAAUGUGAAGUUACUUUCAUUACACAUUCUAAUAAAUGUGAAGUUACUUUCAUUACACAUUCUAAUAAAUGUGAAGUUACUUUCAUUACACAUUCUAAUAAAUGUGAAGUUACUUUCAUUACACAUUCUAAUAAAUGUGAAGUUACUUUCAUUACACAUUCUAAUAAAUGUGAAGUUACUUUCAUUACAUAUUUUAAUAAAUUUGAAGUUACAUAUCUAAGUUCAAAAAGAUGAGAACAGUUGAUCAUAAACUGUUAUCAACAACAGAGAUUACUAAGAACAAUAUAAAAGAAAGGCAGAAAAAUGUGAGUUGCUCUCAAGUCUUACCGCUAAGUUUAUCAACAUAAGGUUGAAGGUCAACAACAAUCUCAUCUUCAUCAGAAUCUGAUUCGAAUCCAUCAAGAUCUUCAACAAUUUUUUAAAAAACAAGUCAUUACAGUUCUAAAUGCAAAUUCACUAUAUUAAAUGAAACAAAUGAAACUAGAGAAGAUAAAUUUACCUUCUUGUCCACAAAUCCAAUCCCUAGUACAUAGUUUCACCUCAACAUUUGCAAGAAGAAUAGAGCUUUGAAACUUUCCAAUGGCACGACCUCCGGUGCUAAAUGUAGAUUCAGAGGCUACUGUAGUGAUGGGCACACACAAAACAUCCCGUGCCAUUAAUGAAAGUUCUGGAUACCUUAGUUUGUUAUCCUUCCAAAAUCCAACUACAUCUAGAUUCGGAUUUGUUUUACGAUCAACGUUAGCUUCUUCCGAAUAUAACUCUAAUUGUGUUUUACUGGUACUCGACUCUAACUGACUUUGAAACAUAUCAAACUCCUCAAAUGCUUGAGUCAUUUGAAAUCUAUUACUACAAGCAUGCUUCAGUCAUUUGACAAUGAGGUUGUUGUAGAUGGUAUCAAGUACUCUUCGAAUAAUAACUUUAAAUUACCUUCGAUAACCUUCACUUUUCAAUUGGCGGUAUCAAAAUUAAGCUUUGAAAAACAAAACUUAACAAAAUUCAGUUUAUAUUUCGGGUCAAGAACCAUUGCUAUAGAUAAAAUGAUGUUAUAUGACUCCCAAUAUUUUUUGAACUUCUUUAACAUAGAAGUGGCCAUCUCAGUCAUCAUUGGAUCUUUACUUCUUUUGUGUUCUACCAAUAGCAUUUCAAUUCUCCAUAUAUUAAGAAGAUACAAAUUUGUUGUGGGGUACUUGCAUCUAGAAAAUAAAGUUGUGAUAUCAUAGAAUGGCCUCAAAAAUGUAGCUACAAUCUCAACCUUUUUCCACUCAUCUUCAAAAAGGCUAUGUCUAAAAUCAGGAUCAACCAAGUCAUAAUGAAUAUAUGCCUGCUGAUACAAAAGAGCACUUUCAAUCAUUUGAUAGGUUGAAUUCUAUCGAAUAGGCACAUCUUGGCGUAGUUUUGUAGAACAUGGUAGACCAAGGUUACUAAGGCACUCCGCAAAUUUCUCUAGUUUUACUUCUGAAUUCUUGAUAUACUUAACACCUUCUCUAAUUUUUCCAAUAGUUGCAUCAACCUUCGCUAAACCCGCCUUAACAAUUAAGUUAAGGAUGUGAUUUCCAUAACGAAGAUGAAGAAACUUUCCCUCACAAACUAGUGAACGCAUUAAAGACAAAUGAUUCUUCAAAACAUCAACCACACCUUUAUUGCAAGUAGCAUUAUCUAAAGUAAGGGCAAAGAUUUUCUUUUCGAUUCCCCACUCUUUAAGAAAAUCAAUCAAUAAAUGACCUAAAACUACACCCGAAUGUGGAGGAAGAACAUGACGAAAAAUCAAAACCCUUUUCUGAAGAACCCAAUUUAUGUCCACAUAAUGAGUUGUUACACACAUAUAGCCAUUAGCUACUAAUGAAGUCCACAUGUCAAAUGUCAAACACACUCUACUAGAAAUCAAUAUAAUGCAAGUUCAACUUUUAGAAGUUCUUUUUCUCUAGCAUACAAAUUCAAGAUAUCUGACUUGGAUGUGUUUCUUGAUCUAUGCCUUGCUAUUGGAUUUAAAUAUGAAUGAAUAUCCCUGAUGCCUUUGUGCUCUACAAAACUGAAAGCAUAAUUAUGCCUAGAUAUACCCAAUGACAUCUUCUCUCGAUAAGUUUUUUGAUCUAUUGGCUCAUUUUGACCCUCUUUAGCCUUAUCUGGGUUAUGUUUCUCCAAAUGACGCUUUAGAUUUGUUGUUCCAAAUGUAGGGCCCAUUGCAAAUUUUUUGUUUACAGAUCAUGCAUUGAACUUCAUACUUUCCGUCAAUAGAAUUAGGCUUAAGUCUAAUAAAUUAAUCCCAAACAACAGAUAUUUUCCUUUUUGCUCGUAUCAACGAAGUUGCAGUACUUCGUUCACAAGACUCUUCAUUGCCUUCUAUCGACAUAUCACCCUAAUUUUACAAAUCAUAAACAAUGAGCCAUACAUACAAAUAACAAAAUCAACUCAUAGCAGCACAAUUAAUAAGGUAAGAAUAUCAAAUGAACUAAAAGUUACUUUAGCUUCUCACAGACUAUGUCUAUGUGGAUCAUCCAUAUCUAUUUCACACUAUUGAGGGAACUACUUCUUUGGCCUUCAACCUACCAUAGCCCUCUUUCUUCAUUUGGGUUUGGACCAUGUAUGCUCAUAUAGGCAGGGUUAAGAAGUAGUUGUACCCAUGACUAGAAGUUGUAUUUACACAUGCAUCGCUAAGUAGAUCUAAAAGUUGAACUAAAAGAAACAAAUAGAAAGUCUACUAUCAAAUCAAUCAAAACAGCAAAGCAGAGUACCACAGCAACAACAACAACAACAAAAAUAGAAAAGGAGAAAAUAGAGACGGAGAUAGAAGUAAAGACGAAGGAGAGAGUCUCACCGGAGAAAUCGCCGGAGCUGAGACAACGUUGGUUGAUGGAAGAUGAUGAAAAGUUGAGGCAAUUUUGGUUCGCGUGGGUUUCAAAUUUCUGCCCUAUUUUUU
rnacentral:lncRNA from 1 species